rnacentral:rRNA from 1 species
UACGUAGGGCGCAAGCGUUAUCCGGAAUUAUUGGGCGUAAAGAGCUCGUAGGCGGCUUGUCGCGUCGUCCGUGAAAACCCACAGCUCAACUGUGGGCUUGCGGUCGAUACGGGCAGGCUAGAGUUCGGUAGGGGAGACUGGAAUUCCUGGUGUAGCGGUGAAAUGCGCAGAUAUCAGGAGGAACACCGGUGGCGAAGGCGGGUCUCUGGGCAGUAACUGACGCUGAGGAGCGAAAGCGUGGGGAGCGAACAGG